rfam:Danio rerio chromosome 25, GRCz11 reference primary assembly.
UGGCCAGCAGCUAUCUCUCUGCAACUCUCACAUGGUCGCCCACUGAAGCUAAGCAGGGCUGUGCCAGGUCAGUACCUGGAUGGGAGACCACAUGGGAAAGCUAGGUUGCUGACGGA